AGCGAACGCUGGCGGCAGGCCUAACACAUGCAAGUCGAACGAACCUUUCGGGGUUAGUGGCGGACGGGUGAGUAACACGUGGGAACGUGCCUUUAGGUUCGGAAUAACUCAGGGAAACUUGUGCUAAUACCGAAUGUGCCCUUCGGGGGAAAGAUUAAUCGCCUUUAGAGCGGCCCGCGUCUGAUUAGCUAGUUGGGUGAGGUAAUGGCACACCAAGGCGACGAUCAGUAGCUGGUCUGAGAGGAUGAUCAGCCACAUUGGGACUGAGACACGGCCCAAACUCCUACGCGAGGCAGCAGUGGGGAAUCUUGCGCAAUGGGCGAAAGCCUGACGCAGCCAUGCCGCGUGAAUGAUGAAGGUCUUAGGAUUGUAAAAUUCUUUCACCGGGGACGAUAAUGACGGUACCCGGAGAAGAAGCCCCGGCUAACUUCGUG
rnacentral:rRNA from 1 species